CAUCCUUCUAUUUCGUGAAAUCGUGAAAUUAUUCAUCUUUUCAUCGAUCAGAUGAAAUUACUAGCUGGAUAAAGCGUUAUUUGGUGGUGGUAGGUGUAGCUUAAAGAUCGUUUCAACUUGCUUUGUCUAUGGCUAUUAGUUUCGCACUUGAUUGCUCAAUAUUUAAACGCCCUUUAAUGGCGAUAAUUAACCGUUGCGAGAUUUAGAAUGGACCCUCGAUCGAGACUAACAACGAUGAAUUGCUGUUUAAUAUAGAGUUUGAUGAUGGUUAAUAAUAGGACGUUUAUCGUCUGUUCUGUUCAAUUUGGAUUAAACGAUUCUUGAGGUGAAUUUGAAAUUAAAUUAAAAAAGGACGUAAAGUAUACGCUUGGUAUUCGAGAAUGAAGUUCGAUCACCGAUCACGAUCGCUCAUGCGAUUCGACGUGUACACCGUGCACCAGCUGAAAAAACCCGUGGAGGCGUGAAUGCACGCGUGAGUACACGCGGAUAGACGAAGAAGAAGAAGAAGAAGAAGAAGAAGAAGAAGAAGAAGAAGAAGAAGCAAAAGGGAAAUACGAAGGAUGGUGGAGGAGGGCAGGUUCGUGUAACGAGGGAAUCGUGUGUCGAGGCGAGAGAUCGCUUCCUCGCCAUACCAUAACUGGACCGUUAUGUGACCGGACUUACGGCCUUCUUCUUACAAACGUUACAAGAGAUAUGUAGUAUGCCAGCAACAGCAACAGCAACAACCUAACGUUGCUACGCCUUAUGUCAGCGAUAUACAUAGCUGCAUGCAAACGCGUGUGGUGCUCGUGUCCUUAACGGACCGCUGCGCUGGUUCCUUCUAUUUGCCGAUAAUCAACUGCCGGAUCACGAUUUCCACCUGAACGGUUAAUGCAUCCGUUUGCUCGCAAUUUCAUACUAUUUUUUAACCGACGAUCGAUAAACCUAUGCUUGUUAAUUUGGAUUAGUAACGUUAAGUCAAGUUAAGUUACUAGCAAAAGGCAAAGAAAUAAGAACCUUCAGGGAACCUUCUAUCUUGAUGUCUCAUAAUAAGCUUCGACGUCGAAGAAUGUAUGGGAAACGAGGUUAAUUCUUCGUAUAUCGAAGGAUGAGACAUCAUAACGCGAGGCUAAAGAACGUUAUGAUGCAUUGUAAUUUUUAUCAUAUUCAUGCAUCACAAUGGUGGAAUGGUGUUUUAUUCCGUAAACGCAUGGAACGAGACAAUCGAGGAACAUUCGAUCGAAGAGGAAGACAAGAAUCGAUUCUCCCAGCUAAUAACGAUACUUAAAUCGGUGUACAAGAGUCUGCAUAAUUUAAGGGCUUGAAAUGCCGAAGGGAAGAAUUCGUCCUGUCUUGGUAAGACAAGGUUAAACUUGGCAAGUCUUUGACCUGAUCGGCUUCACCGAUUCUUUCUGAUCCUUGUGGGCGUUAAAGGAACUGUGGGCAGUCUCAACAUCCUGGACGAUGCCUGAUCUUCCAGCGAGCUACCAUGGAUCGUAAGAUAUCUAAUCUAGUUUAAGAUAUCCAUUGUAGCUAAGUUUCAUUUGCAAUAAGUUGCAAUAAGAUAACGGGACGCAACACAAAAAUGGCAUUGGGCAAAACGGAGACCUAACAUGGUCAAGCUGGGCCAACGUUUUCGUUGCUUACGUAAUCCUUUCCAACAACCGAUUUCUUCGAAUGCUGGUCCAGAAAUCCGUUACGCAACGAAGGUACACAUGUACCUGUGUACCAGUAUGUACAUACGCUCAUCCUUUUCUUGCGAAGAAGAAAAAGCUCGUCACUUUUAACUCGAAACGUUCAAACAAAGUGACCAGGAUCUCCUAAGAGCUGAUUCAACAUUUGCAUUUCGCAAAUCAACUAGUAGUAUUAUAACUCGUUUGCCUUGCUCUACUCUAUUUUUAGCGUAUAGGAUGGAAAACAAAAUCCUUUCGCAAGAAAAUCAACAAUGAAAUCAACGUUUCACAAUCUCAUCAACUUGAUAAAAUUAAAAAUUUUAAUUUAAAGAAAUUAUGCAGUUUUCUAAAUGAACGUAAGUUAUUCUUGAAAGUUUGAAACUUUACAGGUUACUAAAAUAUCAAAGAUCAUCUUGCGAUGAAUGUAAAUGAGAUUUUUAAACUUUCGCAAAAGACCAAUUCGAAAGUUUUUUCAUGCAUAAUUCGAUCUGAACUCAAGGAUGGCAAAUGAUGUUUUUUUUUUCUGCGUAGGCAAGUAAGGGAUAUGCUCUUUUUUCGGCAAUACGUCGAAUGUAAAUUGUACCGCGAUCACGCGAGUGGGAAGAUAGCUUGUGGGCAGCGAGGCGAGCCCACGCUUUGAUCGUAAAAGUAAAAGUCUUCAAGACGAUUCUUUGCCAUGCAAUUCCGCGUAUUUACCUUUGCAUUUCUACUACAUAUUUAGAUACCUGCCUGGUAUCUUCGUGCAUUUUAACAAGACCCCAUAUGGUGAAAAGUCUCGAAUAACUUCUGAUAAAAUGUAAACAUUCGUACACGGUAUCAUCCAGUCGAAUGAAACGUUUCGUUCAUAUUCGUCGAUGAAGAGUGUAUCUCAAAAUCGUCGAGAGAAACAAUUUAAGUCGGUCAGUUGUCUUUCGAAAUCUUUCGAUAACUUUCCCUGCACAUCCAAAACCAGUGGCAGUUGGAAACUUUCGAAGAUGUUAUGCAACCAAUUCGCGACGUCAUGAAUUAUUUUUUUUUUCCUUCAAAGAUACACAGGACAGCUGUUAAACCGAGAGAUAAUAAUACCGCUAAUGAAAGUUGUAACGUGAACUUUGUUACCCAUGAAGAAACAUUGAAAUUUCUUAUUAGAUGGUAAGGAUAAAGAGGGAUCGAUCGAUGGAACAGUUGAUACCCAACUAAUUUUACGCCAUGUCACGACGUAAGGAAAUUGUGGGGAAUGAAAUUUCACCGAGCGCUGCAAUGUACAAUUACAUGCUUCACGCUCUCAAAGUGGAUGAUAAAAACCGCAGGUUUAAAAACAAAAGUGAGAGGAAACAAAGGCUGAAUCGAGGGUAACGCGAACUCGCGACAACUCGGAAUAAAUUCAUUUUGCUGGUAUAAAAUUCCAAGAAAAUCGAUGGAAAUUCGCAUAACUUUUCAUUCGAUUAAAUGGAUACAGCAUAAAUUUAGAAUAGGUCUACUGUGAAUACUUUCGAGAAAUAAUUUAGCGUUCCCCAAGAAAGAAUGCGAAACUUAUGACAGCAAAAGAUGUUAAGAAAAGGAACAAAAGAUCGCAUAAAAUAUAGGUGCGAAUAAUCAAUUUGUCUCGUUCUUAAAAUAUUUCCAACUUCCAUCUGUUUUUUCUUCUUUAUAAAAAAGCAACAAAAGAAGAGAACAAUUUCAUUUUUUGCUGAAUCAGAAAACUAUCUCGCCCGGUAACAAUGUUUCCCAGACGUUCCAUCAACAGAGUAAUUUUUCAUUUUCCUGAAAAGGAAAACAUUUGGAAUAUUCUGAAGACCGUGAACGAUUGGAAAUUGAUACAUUAUUCAGUUGAGAAAACGUUACGCCGUAGAUUUCCGUGUAAAAGCAAAUGUUAUCCUUACCACCCGUUGGAUGCUACGCUUGAAACAGAUAAUAUCUUCUUAGUAGAGAGGUGUAACCGAUGGUUAUAAAAAGAAGGAUACGUUAGGAUUCUUUCUGGUCCAAUUACAUCGUAAAAUAGGUUUAGCCCACGGCCUUUGUAAAACCACACGCGAUUUUCAACCGAUGGCCGAUGGCCGAUGGCCGAUGGCCGAUGACUGAUGAGAAUAAAUAAUUUCAAUCCAAGGUUAGAGGUGGGCUAUCUAGAUUAUAUUUUUCAGUCAAUUUUCGAGUUGAUCAUGGUCCAGCUGAUACUUUACAAUCUCCUCGUGUGUGGUAUCACCGUGAGAAAGAAACAAGUCGAGGAUGUCCAAGGUGGUCAUCAUGCGAUUAUCCAUACUUGCUGGGUACCUUUGCUACGCAAUGAUUAAUGGUCGACUUUCACCUCUUUCCUUUCCUCUCAAACUCUUCGCCACUUCUUCGUUCGCCAUUCAAACGUAUAUACCAACUGUAUUAUAUCAUGACUCAGGAUGAUUUCUGUCCUGUUCAGGAUGAACCUCUUCAAGCUAACCACUUUUGUAUAACUUCAUUUCGAUAGAAUAACUUAUUUCUAGCAAAGAUUUCUAAACGUUGCUACAGAAAAAUGCUUCUUCAAGAUCUAAAGACUACGCGGAGCAGCGACAUCGAAAUCGAAAUCGAAAUCGAAAUCGAAAUCGAAGUUGUUAACUGUGAUGACAGUAGUCAUUGAAAAUCAACUUUCCUGGCGAAUCCACUUCAAGGUGGAUUCCAAUCACUCCAAGGUCACUAGUCCGCCAACACCAUGGCGAAGGCAACUAAUCGUAAGUGGUGGUGGUGUAAUGGCAACACACGGUCGCUUCAACAAAAACCAACACCAACAAUUUCAAUGCUCGCCAGAGCUUCUCUGCCACGCUGUAUUACCUGUCUAAUAGACAGGUAACACCGUUACGUCACCCGUUAUAUUUUCCCUCGAUACACCUCUCUCCUCUAAACAUCAAUUCAUUUUAUGUCGAAUAAUCGACCGGAUAAAAAUACCUCGUCAAGAAUAAACGACUUCCUGUGUUCAUCGUCAGAAAGACUCAGCUAACCGAGGAAAUCUUUAUAGCUUCGGCAACGAUCAAACACGAUGACUACCAAUUUGUCCAUUGUUAAAUAAACCUUUCGAAGGAAGAAGAUGAGAACCUCUGUUGUAUACGCGGCCAUCGCAAGCCUUCUAGGCUCGAAGAAGAAGAAGAAGAAGAAGAAGAAGAAGAAGAAGAAGAAGAAGAAGAAGAAGAAGAAAAAGGUGCAUAUUUCUUGUCUGCACAGUGGAUCAGAGCGCGUGUUGCUUGGAACGCUUCGUCAAAUGGCCUAUUGUUCGCAAUUUCAACCCUUUUCAAAGUUAAACUGCUACAUACUUGGCUUGUUAACGUAUCCACUACCGCUAUUGUAACACGAGUCUUUCUGAAAUAUCUAUCUAUGUACUGGAACGUUUUUGGAAUAAUAAGAUUUGAGAAGAUGCGCUGGUGAGAACCCCUGGAAAAACUGAGAGAAGAGUCGCGAUUGUAUUGGAUCAAGCUACAUGGUCCUCCAGUCUCGUUGACCUCUGACUGAGGGCGCAGCAACCAUAGAUAUCUGUUGGCCAGUUUUUCAGACCGAGGACGCUCGCAAUACUGGCAAGGAUCCACUGUACAACUUCACCCACAGACCGGUCUCGUCGUAGUCUCCUCUUUUGCCAUCUUUAUUCGACACGAAUAACACCGUGUUCUCUGUCCUUUCUCUUCUUCCAGACACCGCUCUGCGCCACUCUGAUCCGCUGGACAAUGCUGGCGCCUAACUAUCGACGACCCCUAACACCCUGAGCUCGUCGAGCCAGGAUCGUCCAGAUAAACUCACAAACCCUGAUCAAUUUUUCUUCGAGAAAAAUUAAACAGAUCAGGCGAAGAAAGGUGGAUAUACCUUUGAAAAAUUAUUCCAACCUGAAUAAGUACAACUAUGAAGAGAUUUAUAAUUCCCCUACCACCAACACCACACUUGUAAUAUUAUUCAUUACAAACUCAUCCUGCUGUAAAACAAAGUAUAAACAGAGUUCGCAUUUGGUCGGAAAAAGCAGAUAUUCAAGAAAUGAGUGUGUAACUCUACGUUUAUAAAUCCUUUAGAAGGAUUACAGAAAGGAGAAAUAAACUGUGGGAAAAGGACAGAUACAGGAUGCUUUGAUUAAGUUAUACCUUAGCGACCCUUGUCUAGGACCUUUCCUGGCAAAGAUUUAUGUUCGAUUCUGUGCACCAAAGACUCGUGAAUCUUACUUUACAUAGUUGAGAAAAUACUAAGAAAAGCAUCGAAAUAAUUUGAUAAAUCAAAGGCGAUGAAGUUAAACAUUUACGAGAUCUGUCUGAACAAAUGAUUUAUCAAAGAGAAGGAUUCUAAUCGUCCUGAAACGAAUUAUACGAAACAUGAUAAGGAGAAAAUCAGACGAAGGGAAAUGACGCAUUGAAGAAAGAAAAGAAGAAUUCAAGUUCAACGACAACGCUGAAAUCACUUCUCAACGUUCUCGCGUCAUUAACUCGGCCUUCCACUCUCUUCUUCAUCCUCCAUUUCCUUCUUCUUCUUCUUCUUCUUCUUCUUCUUCUUCUUCUUCCUUUUCGUCGUUAACCCGUUUUCUUACCCUCUACUUCAAUUUUCUAUUUGCCCUUCGUUUACAAUCAACUUCCGCAUUCUACAGGACGAUACUUUCGUUUCGAACGAGAAGUUCGACCGCUACCAGACAACAAACACCCGGUGCAAGGCGGUGAGAGGAAAACUUGCGUACGAAUUAUUUUUCUUCCGCAAAAUUUAAUUUAUGAUUAGAAAGAUCCGGUUCCGGUCUUUUCGAAUAAACAAGUGAAAUCGUAUUAACGAGUAUUUAUUCAUGCAACAAUAAUUUGAUCUUUUUUUUUUAUAUGUAAAAGUUAUUUGAACAAGGAAAAGACUUGUGUCGGCAAUGAAACAGCUCGAUUUCUUUGAAGAGAGAAGAGACCCAAGGCCAACAGGGAGGUCAGAAUCGCGAUUACCUUUUCAAAUAAAUUCCACCCACUCGAAAAUACCUGUUUUGGCCUGUCUCAACCUAUUACAAGUUGGAUUUCGACUUUCACUUGUCGAUUAGAAUUCAUUUUGUAGACGCGAAUACAUCCUUGCGCCCACUUAUUCACCAAAUGACUCAACCUCCAUCGAUUUAUAAAAGAAAAAAACAAUCACGACGUUGUUUUUUUAUCUCAUCAACUGUAAGUAAAAUUCCGUGUGACGAUUAGAAAGGAAACCAUAUGCCACGUUGAGCAACAAAUUAGUUAGAAAUUCAUCGAAUCGUUGACUCCAAACUAAUUUCAUUCAAUUGGUAAAAUGUGAAAUCGCGAAUAUUCACUUUCGAAUACACCUUCGAUGUUUUCUUUGAUCAAUUAGUCGAACGAUAUUUCAGAUUAUAUUUCAUUUUUAGUUGCAAUAUCAAAAAACAGAAACAGUGUUCCUAACGUGCUUAUAUGUAAUCGAUGAUGUCACAUACGUUAUAUUGUUCCUCGUUGUCACGCAUUCCACGAACACUCAUUGAAUUUCAUUGGCACACUUUGGAAAACUGCAGCACAAGAUAUACAUAUCAAUACGGUUUGUUCAAUUUCAAAAAAAGUAAACAUACAUAUGUGCAGCGCGUAGAAAACGUAUGGAUUAUGCAAACUAUGUAAAAUAAAAAGUACGUACGCCUUUAGAAACGUUUACUAACUCAACAUUACAAAUAGUCUUGUGUGCAAACGUUACCUAACUUCUCCAACAAGUGUGCAUCGUAAAUAUACGAUAAUAAAAUUAAUAUCUCAUUAAAAUGAUUACGAGUGACUAUUGUCAACUCGACAAAAUAUCGACAAAAGAGAAUUUUUUCACAUGGCAUAAAUAGCUAGUUUCAUCGUUUAGCGAUGCGUAAGCACUAAACACAUUAUGAUAUUAGUAGUUGUAAAGUCGACUCUAAUGAAUACGUAGAUCGCGUCAGCAUUAUUUAUAGCUACGUAAACUAACCUUUGUGCACUGAUGAAAAUUUCUCUCUUAAUUUAAUAGUUAAAUUAACUUGAAGGUUAAAACUUUCGAACAGUGUUACCUUUGGCAAACAUAGCUACGAAAGGUUGUAAGAUGCUAAAUUAGGUAGAGCAACCAAGUGGAAGAACGAAUGAAAUUGGAAACGUUUGAACGUUCAAGAAACAUAGCGAAGGAAACUGAGUCAGCUGGUGAACAAGGAAGAUCGUGUUUACAUGGACUACAGUUCGUAGUGCACGGCGUGGCGUACGAGGUGGUGCAGUUGCAGCUGCAGUUGCAGUCACAGUCGCAGCCUGAACUGACCGGGCGUCGAACCCAAGAAAUGCUCUAGCCUGUUAGAUAUAUCGUAAUAAAUAGACAAAGUAUCCUAGAGGCAAGGCCAAUCUCAACAAGAUUCACUGGUUCUACAUUUGCAUACGUCUCUAGGUGAAGAAGAGAAUAAAUAUUACGAGAAUAGCCUGAGAGUUUAUCGAGUGAAAAUAAUAAUAACAAUAAUAAAGCGAUGAGUAAGCCGAUGGUUCAUUUGCAUAAAAUCCCUAGCUAUGAUCUGAAAAAUGUACACAUUCUAGCCUCAGGAUCGCGAACAAAUUCUCGUGCCAGGAUCAUUUUGAAGAAAUCAAGAUGAUUGUAAUAACAACCGUUUGCUAUGUUUCGUAUCAUGGUAGCACUAUCGUUAAAUUGAACAAGUAAAAUUCUUCUUACGCGGCUCAGGAUUUUUAGCAAUUUCCAAAACUAUCCAUACGAAUAGCCUGGAACGAAGAAUGUGGAGGCGAACGAAGGUCAGAUAUUUCCAGAUUUUAUCGAAAUUUAAUGGUCGGAUGUUUCAGGAUUCCUCAAAGAAUAACACUUCAGGAAGUAUCUUCUAAGUAUCAAAUACUUCGAGUUGCUGAGAAUAGUUUGAAAGAGAAAUAGUUUUAGAGUCUCACCGGGUGGUCGAUGAUUCUCCAAUUCAACUGGAACAAUUUGAUCGCCUUCCAUCGAUGAAACGACGUUCUUUCGAAAAUUCUAACCACUUCUUUAGAUCGAGUGAAUUGGCAGAGGUGGGUGGACAAAAGAUCGGAAAGGAAAUGAUGGCAAUUUCCUUUAUAAGAUGUACGCGACUUGGCAAGAAGGGAAUACCACGAAUGCCUUGAUUGCGGUUUGAUAACUUCUCAUCCAUCGAUGGAAUUCAACUCUAGUCAUUCUUGUUGUCUAGUCAUCGCUUGAAAGCUGGUAUAGCGAACCCUUUGCGCGAUAAACAACCAUGGUAGAACGGUAUACGGACAGAAUGAUAGUUUCCAAGAGUUUUUGAACCGUUAUCGGGAACAAUGCCUUUAGUUUAUGAUAGGUGUAGAAAGAUGUAUGGAUCGGUCCAACGGUACAUCAUAAUAAAUUCCCGUUUUCGUUCGAUAGAGCUGCGAAUUUCAACAGCUUGCUUGCGUUCUCGUGGGUAAAGCCAGCAACGAACGCGUUUUAUGGUAGAAAAAUGGAUGUAUUCCUUUUUCGAAGAUACCUUCGUUUCCUGUGUUCUACUUAUACUGGAUACAGACACUUCUCACGAGUAACACAAUAAUUGCUCUUCAAUUUGUCAUUGACCAAAGUUUGUAUCGGAUACAUUGUAGGCUUGGAAAUUUCGAAAUAAAUGAAACGAUGACGCAUGAUUCGCGCAAAAUAAUCUCUAAUCUUAGAUAUUAGCAUCGAUUCUCGUAUACGGGACGUCCAUCAUAGCUGUUUGCGCAAAGGCAUCGCCAGUUAGUGCCUAACGUCCACUUUAAAGAUCCUCUCGGCUUCUUCGUUUUCUUCGUCUUCUUUUUCUUCUGCAGCCCUCCUGUUACUACCUUCUUCUGCACACGUAUGCGUCUACUCUCUCACAUAUAUAAAAUCUUGACGCUGUGUUCGUGAAAGACGCGCGAAUCCUGAAGCUGUUGGCUGGACUCGUUUGUGUAGGUGGAAUUCUCACAUAUCGGCGACCUCGAAAACUCCAGGAUGUAUAUGUAUAUACCAAGUGUCUGAAACGAAUUGUGGCGAGGCUGAAAGUCGAAUCUAUUCAACAGACUUCUUUUCCUUCGUUUUUAAUUGCUCAUCCUUUCGUGGGAAAGCAACAUUCCAAGAGAAUUUUUUAUCUUCUACCAGUCGAGUAAACGUCACCCAAAUAAAUGACGAUAUCGAAAUUGUUAAUACGAUUGGAAGACAAAGAGGGGAAGAUCGAUGGUACAGAGUUUGGGUUACAUAAUCUUGUGGAUUGGAUUAAUCGAGGACCUGUAUGACCUCAUCCAAGCAACGAAUACCUAUGUGGUUGUAACCACACCGUUGCGUUGUAGGCACGUUUAUUGCGUAGACAUCGACCUUCGGUCAUGAUUCUCGCAAUUUCUAGUUACAUCAAUUCAGGUGUACGUGCUUCGUUUAUCGAUGAAACUUUGAAAAUAAAUUUAUCAAAAGUUCAAGCAUCGUUUGAAACAUUCAAAAUGAAAAGAUCGUUCAGUAGAAAUGGAAUAAAACAGUGAAACCACAUUGAUCGAAUGUUAAAAUUUCCUGGAACGUAGAUGUACAAGUAUUUUCUAACGUGAAAAGUAUAAAACAUACGACACACACACACAGACUGUCCCGUGAAAGGAUACUACAAAGAGAUACACAACUUCCUCUGAAACCGCGUUCCAAGAAUUUCUUCGAGAGAAGAAUCAUGAUCGAACCAAACCGCAGAAAAAUCUUCUUAGAAGAAGGUGAAAUCAUAAAAAUGCAUCACGUUCGCCAGGGUGGUCUGCAUGAGUGCAGCAGGAAUACAAUACCAAAAAACGAUAGGAAGCUGUUGUUUUUUGCUUAGAGUUAGAUCGAUGCCAGGAUCAUGUGACAACACGAUGCCCAGCAAAUGAAUAAAUUCUACACUAUAGAGUAUAGAGAGAACAGUGUGUCGUCACGAUAAAAGCGGUGCUUCGUUGCUAGGUACAUAGGUGUGAAACGUAAAGUCAGCGAUCUGACGAAGCUCUCUCGGGCCGAUGCACUGGAGAUUGCGAGUAUCCUUGUUGAGGUCGGACGGCAGGCUUCGUCGAAGGUCGUUGCCUGCUCGAUAUACACGGUGUGCCUUCAUCAUUUUACCUCCAUCUUACAUUUUCUGUUACCUUUAACGAGUUCCAUUUAGGAGUUCAACUCCUGAUGCAUGCGUAGCUUCGAUAUUUUUUGCCAGGAUAGCUGUCCCGCGUUUCAAACGAAUCACGACAGAUUCUUGUAGUAAAUUCUCAAUUAAAUCCUGCGUAUUCCUCAAUGAAUACUUGCUGUAAUUAAUUCUGACUACACCUUAUUUCACGAUAAUUUUAAUUAAACUCUCGUUUGCCUAUCGCUGAUACGCUCUCUUGAAUAUUUACCGUUGCAAGUGGUUGAUAAAGAAGACGAUAAGCGAUAGUACGGUAGCUAUUUGCAUUUGAAACAGCUACUUAUCUGUAUGGAUAAACGUCAAAUUGACGUGGAUAUUGAAAAACUCUUUUCAACAUUUCCGAAGUUUUAUAGAUACUUAUUAAUAUCAUAGUAAAUUAAUCAAUAGCUAAUGUCUUCAUAAUGUCUCUCAUUCUAAAGUUUGCAAAACGAAUCGAGAAAAAAAAAAAACAGCCCUG